AUUGAACGCUGGCGGCAUGCUUUACACAUGCAAGUCGAACGGUAACAGGCCUUCGGGUGCUGACGAGUGGCGAACGGGUGAGUAAUGCAUCGGAACGUGCCCAGAGGUGGGGGAUAACGCAGCGAAAGCUGUGUUAAUACCGCAUGUGAUCUGAGGAUGAAAGCGGGGGACCAAGCAGCAAUGUUUGGCCUCGCGCCUCUGGAGCGGCCGAUGUCAGAUUAGGUAGUUGGUGGGGUAAAGGCCUACCAAGCCGACGAUCUGUAGCUGGUCUGAGAGGACGACCAGCCACACUGGGACUGAGACACGGCCCAGACUCCUACGGGAGGCAGCAGUGGGGAAUUUUGGACAAUGGGCGCAAGCCUGAUCCAGCAAUGCCGCGUGCGGGAAGAAGGCCUUCGGGUUGUAAACCGCUUUUGUACGGAACGAAAAGGCUCUGGCUAAUACCUGGGGCUGAUGACGGUACCGUAAGAAUAAGCACCGGCUAACUACGUG
rnacentral:rRNA from 1 species